GAUGAACGCUGGCGGCGUGCCUAAUACAUGCAAGUCGAGCGAACAGAUGAGGAGCUUGCUCCUCUGACGUUAGCGGCGGACGGGUGAGUAACACGUGGAUAACCUACCUAUAAGACUGGGAUAACUUCGGGAAACCGGAGCUAAUACCGGAUAAUAUAUUGAACCGCAUGGUUCAAUAGUGAAAGACGGUUUUGCUGUCACUUAUAGAUGGAUCCGCGCCGCAUUAGCUAGUUGGUAAGGUAACGGCUUACCAAGGCAACGAUGCGUAGCCGACCUGAGAGGGUGAUCGGCAACAAUGGAACUGAGACACGGUCAAGACUCCUACGGGAGGAAGCAGUAGGGAAUCUUCCGCAAUGGGCGAAAGCCUGACGGAGCAACGCCGCGUGAGUGAUGAAGGUCUUCGGAUCGUAAAACUCUGUUAUUAGGGAAGAACAAAUGUGUAAGUAACUAUGCACGUCUUGACGGUACCUAAUCAGAAAGCCACGGCUAACUACGUG
rnacentral:rRNA from 1 species